AGCACCUCUUUCCGAGCGGAGAGCGCGCGCCGUUUCCUCCCCUGGUGUCCCAUCGCGGCUUGGGACCCGACAAGAUGGGCAAGAAGGGCAAGAAGGAGAAGAAGGGCCGCGGCGCGGAGAAGACGGCCGCCAAGAUGGAGAAGAAGGUGUCUAAGCGCUCGCGGAAGGAGGAGACGUGACUGAGCCCAGUCGAAUCACACUGACUGGAGGAAAGCUGAGCGGGCUGUGGCUCCGCAGUGGGUCCUGGGAACAAGUCUCAUGUGUGCCUGCUUGCUUGCCCUAGGAAGACCUGGAAGCGCUCAUAGCCCAUUUCCAGACACUCGAUGCCAAGAGGACUCAGACUGUGGAAGCUCCGUGCCCCCCGCCCUCACCAAGACUUUUUUGUAUAACGAGCUCUAUGUCUACAAUAUCAGAAAGGACACCUGGACCAAAGUUGACAUCCCCAGUCCACCUCCGAGGCGCUGUGCUCACCAGGCGGUGGUGGUGCCUCAAGGUGGCGGACAGCUGUGGGUCUUUGGAGGGGAGUUUGCCUCUCCGAACGGAGAG
rnacentral:sRNA from 1 species